AGAGCAGUCGAGCGAACAGAAGGGAGCUUGCUCCCGGAUGUUAGCGGCGGACGGGUGAGUAACACGUGGGUAACCUGCCUGUAAGACUGGGAUAACUCCGGGAAACCGGAGCUAAUACCGGAUAGUUCCUUGAACCGCAUGGUUCAAGGAUGAAAGACGGUUUCGGCUGUCACUUACAGAUGGACCCGCGGCGCAUUAGCUAGUUGGUGGGGUAAUGGCUCACCAAGGCGACGAUGCGUAGCCGACCUGAGAGGGUGAUCGGCCACACUGGGACUGAGACACGGCCCAGACUCCUACGGGAGGCAGCAGUAGGGAAUCUUCCGCAAUGGACGAAAGUCUGACGGAGCAACGCCGCGUGAGUGAUGAAGGUUUUCGGAUCGUAAAGCUCUGUUGUUAGGGAAGAACAAGUGCGAGAGUAACUGCUCGCACCUUGACGGUACCUAACCAGAAAGCCACGGCUAACUACGUGCCAGCAGCCGCGGUAAUACGUAGGUGGCAAGCGUUGUCCGGAAUUAUUGGGCGUAAAGGGCUCGCAGGCGGUUUCUUAAGUCUGAUGUGAAAGCCCCCGGCUCAACCGGGGAGGGUCAUUGGAAACUGGGAAACUUGAGUGCAGAAGAGGAGAGUGGAAUUCCACGUGUAGCGGUGAAAUGCGUAGAGAUGUGGAGGAACACCAGUGGCGAAGGCGACUCUCUGGUCUGUAACUGACGCUGAGGAGCGAAAGCGUGGGGAGCGAACAGGAUUAGAUACCCGCUAAGUGUUAGGGGGUUUCCGCCCCUUAGUGCUGCAGCUAACGCAUUAAGCACUCCGC
rnacentral:rRNA from 2 species